AGAGUUUGAUCCUGGCUCAGGACGAACGCUGGCGGCGUGCCUAAUACAUGCAAGUCGAGCGGACAGAUGGGAGCUUGCUCCCUGAUGUUAGCGGCGGACGGGUGAGUAACACGUGGGUAACCUGCCUGUAAGACUGGGAUAACUCCGGGAAACCGGGGCUAAUACCGGAUGGUUGUUUGAACCGCAUGGUUCAAACAUAAAAGGUGGCUUCGGCUACCACUUACAGAUGGACCCGCGGCGCAUUAGCUAGUUGGUGAGGUAACGGCUCACCAAGGCAACGAUGCGUAGCCGACCUGAGAGGGUGAUCGGCCACACUGGGACUGAGACACGGCCCAGACUCCUACGGGAGGCAGCAGUAGGGAAUCUUCCGCAAUGGACGAAAGUCUGACGGAGCAACGCCGCGUGAGUGAUGAAGGUUUUCGGAUCGUAAAGCUCUGUUGUUAGGGAAGAACAAGUACCGUUCGAAUAGGGCGGUACCUUGACGGUACCUAACCAGAAAGCCACGGCUAACUACGUGUCAGCAGCCGCGGUAAUACGUAGGUGGCAAGCGUUGUCCGGAAUUAUUGGGCGUAAAGGGCUCGCAGGCGGUUUCUUAAGUCUGAUGUGAAAGCCCCCGGCUCAACCGGGGAGGGUCAUUGGAAACUGGGGAACUUGAGUGCAGAAGAGGAGAGUGGAAUUCCACGUGUAGCGGUGAAAUGCGUAGAGAUGUGGAGGAACACCAGUGGCGAAGGCGACUCUCUGGUCUGUAACUGACGCUGAGGAGCGAAAGCGUGGGGAGCGAACAGGAUUAGAUACCCUGGUAGUCCACGCCGUAAACGAUGAGUGUUAAGUGUUAGGGGGUUUCCGCCCCUUAGUGCUGCAGCUAACGCAUUAAGCACUCCGCCUGGGGAGUACGGUCGCAGGACUGAAACUCAAAGGAAUUGACGGGGGCCCGCACAAGCGGUGGAGCAUGUGGUUUAAUUCGAAACAACGCGAAGAACCUUACCAGGUCUUGACAUCCUCUGACAAUCCUAGAGAUAGGACGUCCCCUUCGGGGGCAGAGUGACAGGUGGUGCAUGGUUGUCGUCAGCUCGUGUCGUGAGAUGUUGGGUUAAGUCCCGCAACGAGCGCAACCCUUGAUCUUAGUUGCCAGCAUUCAGUUGGGCACUCUAAGGUGACUGCCGGUGACAAACCGGAGGAAGGUGGGGAUGACGUCAAAUCAUCAUGCCCCUUAUGACCUGGGCUACACACGUGCUACAAUGGACAGAACAAAGGGCAGCGAAACCGCGAGGUUAAGCCAAUCCCACAAAUCUGUUCUCAGUUCGGAUCGCAGUCUGCAACUCGACUGCGUGAAGCUGGAAUCGCAAGUAAUCGCGGAUCAGCAUGCCGCGGUGAAUACGUUCCCGGGCCUUGUACACACCGCCCGUCACACCACGAGAGUUUGUAACACCCGAAGUCGGUGAGGUAACCUUUUAGGAGCCAGCCGCCGAAGGUGGGACAGAUGAUUGGGGUGAAGUCGAAACAAGGUAGCCGUAUCGGAAGGUGCGGCUG
rnacentral:rRNA from 1 species